GUGCCCACUUCGGCAGCAUAUACACUAAAAUUGGAGUCACACAGAGAAGAUUAGCACAGCCCAAAUGCAAGAAUCACAUGUGAAUUUGUGAAGCAUUCCAUGUUUUU
rfam:Ictidomys tridecemlineatus contig130740, whole genome shotgun sequence.